UGCCCGCCCCGCCCGGGGUUCUGCCCGCUCUCCCGGCUUCGGCGGCGCGGCAGAUCCCCGUGCUGAGCCUCGUCUCGGGCUUCUCUUUGCCCAGGGAACGGGCACGGUCGCUGGAGCUGCGCUCCCGUGGGCCGGUGUUGAUUUUUUCGUUUGUUCGGUUUUGGCCCCCGCACUUCGCUCUCGGUCCUUUCUCCUGCAUCGGCGCUGCCGCCCGUGUCUUGCCCCGCAGCAGUCUGCGGGCUUGCAACGGGUGCGAGCGAGUAUUCGAAGUCGCCUCCUCCUCCCCGGAGCGGGGGACAGAGGCAGUGAGUCCGCGUCCCCCGGCGGCCCGCACCCUCGGUUCCCACGGGGGACUGCGGUGCGUGGGGAGACGCGGGGCAGUGGCAAGGCUGCGGGGCCACCGAGAGGUGUGGACUGGAGCCUGGGUACCGGCGGGCUAUCGGGAAAUAGCACCGAGGAGCCACCAGCCCGCGGGGACCUCUAAACAACUAAAUCCUCCUCCUCCUCCCCCACCCACCCGGGACCCUCAGCUCAGUAACGCUGAAGGAAGAACAACAAAACGCCCUCGAAGCUCGGCACCCCCAAAGAAAACGGAAAACGUAAAAGAGAGCGAGCCACCAGCAAACCCCACGAGCAGCCCCCAAACGGCGAGGAGAGGCGAGCCGGCUUCCAGCCAGUGGGUGGUCGGACUCCCAGGAGCCCCCUCGCCCUCCACCAUCGUCCACUUGUUCCUAAUUCCUUCGAGUUUAACCAGAUUCCCCUACUGACAACGGGGUCGUGUGAGGUUUCACCCCCGAGCCCCAUUAUAUUGAAACAGAAAGAAAGCAGAUGCAGGUGAAGCCCCUAACACUUGCGGGGGGCCGGGGCUCCUCGCACCAACGGGACAGCCUCGGGGAGGGCUCCCGAAGAGGAGCGGGGCAGCCCCCCGUGGGCGGCGGGGAGCGGAGUCCGUCCGCAGCGCUGCGCUCCGCCGGGCUGUGCCACGGAGAUCGCAUCGAGAGAGAGCCUUUCCGGGAACGGGCUCCUGACAGCUCCCCGACGAGAGGGGGUGGGGAAAUGAAAGAGAAAAGGCCAAAGAAACAGCGCGAUUUUGGGAGCGGGACCAAAUCCUAACGUGUUACAUAAAAGCCACGGGCGGUUCUUAUCAGCGAGCCCGGCCUGAAGAGGAACAAUCCCCGGGAGCGGUUCCAAAACAGCCCCGUUAAAGGAACAAUUGUGAAAUGCCAACUUCCCACCAGAGCAUGAACAGCGGGAGCCGGGCAUGUCCCGUCUGUAACCGGGCUUCUGACAAGCGACAGAGAGAGGGGAGGGGAUGGGGGGGAUCCUCUCUUGACAAGAUUUAUCAAGAAACAUUUAACUGGGCUUUAAUCAUAUUAGCAAGAGCCCAAUUAGGGCUGAGAGCGAAGCGAGCGGUGGAGUCACUCGAGGAUAAAGUCCUUUCAUCGGACUGCGCUCUCGGCGAGCAGAGGAGUGCGAAUAAUCAC
rnacentral:lncRNA from 1 species